UACGUAGGGUGCGAGCGUUAAUCGGAAUUACUGGGCGUAAAGCGUGCGCAGGCGGUUUGGUAAGACAGAUGUGAAAUCCCCGGGCUUAACCCUGGGAAUUGCAUUUGUGACUGCCCGGCUAGAGUGUGUCAGAGGGGGGUAGAAAUUCCGACGUGUAGCAGUGAAAUGCGUAGAUAUGUGGAGGAAUACCGAUGGCGAAGGCAGCCCCCUGGGAUAACACUGACCGCUCAUGACGACGAAAGCGUGGGGAGCAAACGGG
rnacentral:rRNA from 1 species